rnacentral:misc_RNA from 1 species
UUUUACUCCAUCUAUCUGCUGCUCCUCAUCCUUGUUACUACCGUUAACUAGUUCUGGACUAGGCACUGUUCUUUCUACAUCUCUCUGCUCUUCAUUCAUAUUAUAACCGUUAAUCCUUUCUGGACUAGGCCCUGCUUCUUCUUUGAGUUCAUCACUUGGGUUCAAGCUUUCACUGUGGUGACCAUUUGUGGAAGCAUCAUUAGGAGAAAUAUCUUUCUGCUCUUCAUCCUUAACAUCAGAAUCCAGAGAUUUAAGCACUCCUUCCCAUUCGGUAUCUCCUUCAUCUUUCAGCACAGAGCCAGAACUAUCUGAGACAUUGUUGUGGACGUCAGCAGUGUCCUGAUGUCCAGCAGGCUGAACAGCAGAUGUUUCAAUGACAUCAACAUUAUCUUCAUCAUGCAGCAAUGCAUCUUUGUAUGAAUGAACCUGGUUCUGCAGAACAUUAUUACCCGCUUUCGCUUCAUCGGCAUCCUGUUGAUCAGAAUUUGUUUUCUUUGCAUCAUCACUUUGAGUUUCUCCCAAGUUCACAUGAUUGAAAACUCCAUUCUCAAAUUCAGUUGGUUCGCCAGAAUUAUCUUUCCUUUCAUCCCAAUUCACUGAAGUUUCAGUUUCUAUAGCAGCACCCAGAUCUGCAACCUCAGACAUGUCAUCUUUGCCCUUCCCUACUUUGAUAUUCUUCUCAACCACUUCUGUUUCAUCCGGUGCAGCGAUUUCAUGACAACUUUCCUUCUCAACUGAAGGCUCCUCUUUCAAGAUAACAUCUGUCUUCUGAUUAGACUCAUCAUUGGCAUGCUGUAUCUCAUGUAAAACUUCAACUGCUUCCUCAAAGUUCUCAACAUUGUCCCUUGACUCAGAGUUGCUACUGUCCUCAAUAGAACUAUUAAUAUCCCCAGAGUUAUCAUCAUUUCUUCCCUCACUAGCAACUACAUCCUCAACAGCAAAACCAGGAGAUUCUGGCUCUAUUGCCUCCUCAAAUACUUCAUCCCCUUCCGAUUCCUUUGAUACAUGUGACACCACAACUACCUUAUCCUCCGGGCGCACUUCAACAGUUUCAUCUACUACACCAUUCCAGUCGUCCAUUCGGGCCUUGCCAAAUCUUUCCUCCCCAUUUUCCAUCAUAAAUAAACUUCAACAGAACCAGUUUAUGUCGACUACGAUCCGUCCACGUCGAUUACGAUGACGAUGAUGAUGAAGAUGGUGAAAGAAAAAAAAGGUGUUUGUUAAGAUUGGUGAAAAGAGAGGAUCUUCGUUGUGGUUACCUCAAUAUCUGGAGAGGCG